rnacentral:rRNA from 1 species
GGACUACAAGGGUUUCUAAUCCUGUUUGCUCCCCACGCUUUCGCGCCUCAGCGUCAGAACCGGGCCAGAGAGCCGCCUUCGCCACCGGUGUUCUUCCCAAUAUCUACGAAUUUCACCUCUACACUGGGAAUUCCACUCUCCUCUCCCGGUCUCAAGCCCGCCCGUUUCAAGCGCACCUCCCAGGUUGAGCCCAGGGCUUUCACGCCUGACGCAACAGACCGCCUACGCGCCCUUUACGCCCAGUAAUUCCGAACAACGCUAGCCCCCUCCGUAUUACCGCGGCUGCUGGCAC